rnacentral:lncRNA from 1 species
AAAUAACGUAAUUUUUUUUGACAAAUAUUAAAAGUAAACAAAAGUUGUUAAUCGUCUGUUUGUCAUAUGAGUGUAUGCAUAAAAAAAAUUUAGUUUCGUUUACCAAGCUCUUAUUUUAUUAACUUAGAUGUAAAUAUUUGUCGAAAUGACAAUGUAAGUUUGUCUUUUCAUGCCAUAAAAAGGAAGUUUUAUAAAUUUCAAACAAAUGAUUAACUUUCACUAUCAAUGUUAAAAUCAUUUUAAUAUUCCUGAAGAAUAAAAACGGAGGAUCUCAUUUCGUAAGGUUAAGCAUGAGGUAGUUUACACAAAUUCUGCAAGAUUUCAUUGAAGCAAAACGGUUUAUCGACAAGUCAAAGUUAAUGUUUUCAAGUUUUCUUGCAUGGUUUAAAGAGCUAUUCAGAGGGAAAUCAUAGAACGUUAACACUGAUUUCUAAAGAAAAGAAAAACACGUGGUCUCUAAAUAGAGAGUCAUCUACAGUAAAAAUGGUCUUAUGUAUCAGUAAUGGGUUUAAUCAGAUUGAAUCGAAACAAAAGCAAAAACCGAAACAUAAUAACAAAGUAAACAUUAUUCAUUAGAUGUUCUCAAUUUUUUAUUUGGCAUACUGCUAAUUUUUUUUGUCAUUUGAUGAUGCCCCCAUAAACGUGAUGCCCGGGGGUAACCAAUCUGGAUCCCCCGCCCUCUGUGCGCCCUGUAUGUAUAUACACACAAUAUUUACACCCAUUUCUUAAAGAAAAUUUGGAUAAAAUAUCAUUAUUGUAACACAUUCACUGAUAAGGACUAAUAAACAAAUUAAUAUUGAAAACACAUUCUUUUUUUUGCUUUUUCACUAGAAAAAAAUUGUUAUUACUAAUAUGUCAUCUUACGAUCGAGUUGUAUCCAAUUCAUUUUUCAAAAUGUAUGUUCGAUAGACGUCCUUAUAUCUCUUGUUUUAUAGUGGCCCUACAAUCAUUUUUUUAAACCAAAUUUAGUUUACUUUAAGGUCAUUCACCUUCUGCGACAGCUGCUCGCGUGAAUAAUGAAGACUAUUUCAAACUAUUAAGUUACAAAAUAUUUUACAUAAAGUUAUCUUAUAUUUUAAAACUACUGAUUCUG